AGAGUUUGAUCAUGGCUCAGAUUGAACGCUGGCGGCAGGCCUAACACAUGCAAGUCGAACGGUAACAGGAAGCAGCUUGCUGUUUCGCUGACGAGUGGCGGACGGGUGAGUAAUGUCUGGGAAACUGCCUGAUGGAGGGGGAUAACUACUGGAAACGGUAGCUAAUACCGCAUAACGUCGCAAGACCAAAGAGGGGGACCUUCGGGCCUCUUGCCAUCGGAUGUGCCCAGAUGGGAUUAGCUUGUUGGUGGGGUAACGGCUCACCAAGGCGACGAUCCCUAGCUGGUCUGAGAGGAUGACCAGCCACACUGGAACUGAGACACGGUCCAGACUCCUACGGGAGGCAGCAGUGGGGAAUAUUGCACAAUGGGCGCAAGCCUGAUGCAGCCAUGCCGCGUGUAUGAAGAAGGCCUUCGGGUUGUAAAGUACUUUCAGCGGGGAGGAAGGGAGUAAAGUUAAUACCUUUGCUCAUUGACGUUACCCGCAGAAGAAGCACCGGCUAACUCCGUGCCAGCAGCCGCGGUAAUACGGAGGGUGCAAGCGUUAAUCGGAAUUACUGGGCGUAAAGCGCACGCAGGCGGUUUGUUAAGUCAGAUGUGAAAUCCCCGGGCUCAACCUGGGAACUGCAUCUGAUACUGGCAAGCUUGAGUCUCGUAGAGGGGGGUAGAAUUCCAGGUGUAGCGGUGAAAUGCGUAGAGAUCUGGAGGAAUACCGGUGGCGAAGGCGGCCCCCUGGACGAAGACUGACGCUCAGGUGCGAAAGCGUGGGGAGCAAACAGGAUUAGAUACCCUGGUAGUCCACGCCGUAAACGAUGUCGACUUGGAGGUUGUGCCCUUGAGGCGUGGCUUCCGGAGCUAACGCGUUAAGUCGACCGCCUGGGGAGUACGGCCGCAAGGUUAAAACUCAAAUGAAUUGACGGGGGCCCGCACAAGCGGUGGAGCAUGUGGUUUAAUUCGAUGCAACGCGAAGAACCUUACCUGGUCUUGACAUCCACGGAAGUUUUCAGAGAUGAGAAUGUGCCUUCGGGAACCGUGAGACAGGUGCUGCAUGGCUGUCGUCAGCUCGUGUUGUGAAAUGUUGGGUUAAGUCCCGCAACGAGCGCAACCCUUAUCCUUUGUUGCCAGCGGUCCGGCCGGGAACUCAAAGGAGACUGCCAGUGAUAAACUGGAGGAAGGUGGGGAUGACGUCAAGUCAUCAUGGCCCUUACGGCCAGGGCUACACACGUGCUACAAUGGCGCAUACAAAGAGAAGCGACCUCGCGAGAGCAAGCGGACCUCAUAAAGUGCGUCGUAGUCCGGAUUGGAGUCUGCAACUCGACUCCAUGAAGUCGGAAUCGCUAGUAAUCGUGGAUCAGAAUGCCACGGUGAAUACGUUCCCGGGCCUUGUACACACCGCCCGUCACACCAUGGGAGUGGGUUGCAAAAGAAGUAGGUAGCUUAACCUUCGGGAGGGCGCUUACCACUUUGUGAUUCAUGACUGGGGUGAAGUCGUAACAAGGUAACCGUAGGGGAACCUGCGGUUG
rnacentral:rRNA from 1 species